GCCCUGCCGCUGCUCCCUACCGCGGUACCGCCGGUACCGCGGCUGUGUGGACUGUCAGACUCCUCGGCCCCAGAGUCCUGAAGAGACGGAUCCUUUUGUGGUGCUUCUCCGAAAAGCUCGAGAAAAUCCUUUCCAAAGAUGUCCACGCUGUGCUCGAUGAGGUACUCCACCAGCUGGGGCACUUGCUCCGAUAUCUGCAAACAAGAUCCAGUCAUCUUUUUAUCACAAGAAUGAAAAACAGAAGUGCAUCCACCCCCAAGUCUCACAAAACUGGCAGGGCCAUGGAAGUUUAGGUAGUGUUCAAUAGAAUUCAUAAUAAAGAGAAGAGGGAUGCAUCUACAAGAAAACUUUAAA